UUUGUAAGGCAAAGUGAUUAAUGAGUGGCCAUGAGAAAGGUUCUCUUAAUGCUGUAAAUUUUUUAUGACCCUGCACAAUUGAUUGUCCCCAAAAUAUCCUGUUUUUGUACAAGCAGCUUCAUUAAUAUCUAGCCCUGAUUCUAAAUAAUGCAGUGCCUACAACACAAAGUGAUGUGUGUACAAAGUGAUGCUGUGCCUGUUUCUGCUCUGCCUUGCAGGAGCCUGGUGCUGACAGCCCAGCCUGCCUGCAGCUUUUAGGGCAUUUUUACAAAAAAAUUGUGCUCCAUUACAAGCAAAGCAGCCAGGAGUGCUGAUGGUGCUGCAGAGGCAGUGCAGGUAAUGUGAGAGAGGUCCUUCCUCAGGGCCUCCUGCACGCCCAGCUUUGCUUGUGCAGCUCUACACGUGCCUCUCUCUGACACAAAGACCCUUCUUGGUCACCUCGUGUGCUGGAUGUCCCCUUGCAGGCAGCAUUGAGGGUUACAGCCUUGCCUGGUAGUCCAAAUUCUUGCUUGGCAAACUUGAGGGAAGAUUCCCCUCCAUAAAAUCCCUGCCACAGGCAGGACUGAUCAGGUGGCAUCUCCUGUGGAGGUGGAAAGGACCCAAAAGGGAACCUCCUGGAAGCUGCAGCUGAUCAGUGCUGGGUUGGGAAAACAGAGGGUGAAUACUUUGUGGUUGCUAUCAGAAUUAUGUGAGGUAUCAGUGUUUGGGGACAGGGCAGUGCCUGGCUGGAAUGAAGCACUGCACAGUGCCCAGCCCAUUGAUCAAACCUGCAAAGGGGGUGUUCAAAACAGCUGCUCUUUUGCCUUUAUUAAUGAAGCUGUUGAUGAGGAACAGAUUUCUUUCCCCUCUCCCCAGGGUUUCAGGUCAUUCCCCUGUAUUUGGAGCAGUGAGGCUCAAUGUGCUAUUGUAAAGCCUCGUGUUCUGAUCGUUAUCUUGUUGACUCAAACUAACCUUCCUUCCUGAAAUAACUAUUGACAUGGCCCUUCAUGGGUUUUUUUGGUUUUUUUUAACAGCACUAAUUGGAUUAAAGUAAUUGUCACGCGUGAAGGAUGCGUGUUGGAGCACAAAGGGCACAGGGGAGGCUCAGCUGUGGGCACCAUGGUUACUGUGACAUCACUGGUUUGCUGUUCCCAGCAAGGAUUCGGUGCAGCUGAAGCUGGAGUGAGGGUGGCCCAAACUGGGGGAUUGCUGAUGCAGCCCCUCCCGUUGCCAUGGAAACAGAGGAUGCAGUUUCAAGUUGCCUGCAUGCAUAACGUGGUGCUCGUGGUGUAAACAAAACCAGGGUCCUGUGGUGCCCACAGCUUCUGGAAGGGCAGGAAUGGUGUCGUGGGCAGAGUGAGGAAUCCUGUUGUGGUUGGACUUCUUUCCCAUUGACUUUACUGUGCACAAUGAGACAGAGUGAGCCUUGCUUUGAGGGACAAGAGCUAAACUCACAAGUCCCUUGCUGUCCUGAGCAGUUUUGUGGUUGAGGGAUUGCCAGUCCAACUUGAUGUAAUUGUUUCAGAUUGGACCUUACAAAGUGCAGGCUCAAAAGUUCUGUUAAAACCAUCCCUGGGAUAACAGGGUUCCCAUUAUUAAAGUUAAGCCCCUGCCUACCUUUAAGAUUUUCUUUCUAAUAUAACCAUUUAGAUUGUUCUCAACUCCUGCAAAACAGGAGCAGAGAAGCUUCCCUGUUUGAGGACUGGUUUAAUAUAUUUUGAUAAAGGUCCCUACUCCAGCAAAGAGCACUGUCACAAAAUGGUUGGGGUGCUGAAAUGGGUACUGGAUGUAGCCCUGCCAGCAGCUCUGUGUCUUCAAGUUACUUUCUUCAAAAUGGUGCUUUUUUGUUGAUUCCGUGAUCUUUAAUGUGAGGGCACUCAACUGUUCUGACUGGGGCACAAAAGCCUCUGACAGCCAGAAGUUGUGUGUGCUGUUGUACUUCAGCACUCUCCUGCAUAAGUAACAGUAGGGGUGAUUUUUAAUUUAGUUCCUGUAACUUCCUGUUUGCUUUUAGAACACUGUGCACUGAUAAAAUUAUGUUGGUUUUGAUGUGACAAGAAGUUCUGAAUUUUGGCUUCUCUUAAGAGUGGAAUAGCUCCAUCUUUUGUGCUCCCUUCUUUCACUCUGAACAAAGCUCUUUGCCCUGGUUAUGGUGAUGUGAUUUUGAGUGUUUCAGAUCUUUGACAUACACAUAAAGAAAAGAAAAGAACAAGUUGUAAAAUAUGAAACUGUGGUACUUUUAGGAUAACCCAGCAUUUUGUUUUACAGUCAAAGACAUGGGUUUUGUUUACCUGCAGUAAACAGUGGCCAUGAAUGGGGCCUGGUCUAUCAGAUAUCUGCAUCAGCAGGCAGAAGGUGGUGGUGAAAGCAGAUUGCUGGUAAUGAAUUAGAUGUCAGCUCAAAUGCUGGUGAAGGAGUGGUUAACAGAAGCCAGAGCUGAGUCAUUCCGCAGCACAGGCUGGAGGCAGAGCUACACCCUGAGCAGCACACCCUGCCUGCCCAUGGUACCCAUGUGCAGAGUCCCUGCUGGGAAAACCCAUCCAGAAUAAACCAAGCAUUCCUUCCAGGACCUUUUGGUGCUUCCAUCAUCGGCUUUCUGGGUUUUGGUGCUGUUUAAUUCUGGCAGCUAUGGCUGGAAUGUGCUGUUGUAUUUUGUGCUGGUUUGUUUGUGGUGUUUGACUGCUGAUCCUGCCACAAUAAGCCAAAUUACAUGGCUGAGACGACAGGCUGCUUUUCUCAUAACCUCUCCCAGCUUUUCUGUUAAAGUUUGCAACAUGCAAGGUCCCAGCCACCGUGUCACUGGUACCUCCUCAGUACCUGGUGCCUGCAGGUGAGAGUGAGGAUGGCAGCUGCUGGAGCAUAGCAAGGAAGGCUCUUGGUGGUGGGAAGACGACACCACUUUGGAAAAUCAAUUGUUUGGUAAUCUUAGUGCUGGGGUGCUGCUGCAGCUCUGCUGUGCUCAAAAGGAGUCCUAGAAACCAUCCCCAGUGUCCAG